rnacentral:lncRNA from 1 species
CGCUGCCAAAGCCUCCCCACAGUCCCCACGGCCCGACAGGUUUCAAGCAGCAGUCCAGCAAGUGGUGCCCUCCGUACCCAAACAAACCGAUGCCCGGCCGCGUACCAGGGUGAUCAAGUCUGGACGCUGACGCGGGGACAACCAAUGAUGAGCGAUUCAGCCACGGAGGCUGGCUGCUGCUGCUGGCGCGAGGCAGGCUGACGCAGUCUAACGUAGUGGGAUGCUAACGUUUCAGAAGCGAAGGAACGGACAAGGCUAAUGCUCGCGAUGGGUUGGUUGACACAGUCUGAUACACAGUCUGCUAGCUUGCGCUGUUGGCAACACAACCAGCGAGUCAGGGACUCGCUGGCCCGGCAUACCCCCGCUGGGCCUGUAGCGGCUCCCAUGCAGGACCGGGUUUGACACGCUGAGUCACACGCACUGAGUCACCCGACAGGCACCGGCAACAACCUACCGCUCAGCACAGCACACACAGCAGAGCCACCCCAAGGGGGGGGGGUAUGCAGCAGCGGCAAACCACAGACACGACAUCACACGACAGGCUGCUAGCCCCGCCGUCAAGCUCGCGCUACAAGCUGCUCCAGUCUCAAACCUUGAUCCCAAGGCAGCAUUCACCCAUCGUGCCGAACAACCCGGAUGUUCCCUUUCACCACAUGCCGUGGCCGGCCCUACUACCGCGCUGAUGCUCCGCUGCCAAAGCCUCCCCACAGUCCCCACGGCCCGACAGGUUUCAAGCAGCAGUCCAGCAAGUGGUGCCCUUCCGUACCCAAACAAACCGAUGCCCGGCCGCGUACCAGGGUGAUCAAGUCUGGACGCUGACGCGGGGACAACCAAUGAUAAAGUCAAUUGCCCAUAAAAAGCAACCCCUGCUGUCACCUUGCCUGUCAAGUUAGUGCACACAAGCACAAUUGCACAGUUCCAAGAGUCAUAGUCGGUACAUAGUCGGUACAUCACGACCGGCUGGACUGUGCCUGCUGGUGCAC